ensembl:lncRNA novel transcript
CUUGCCUUUGUUAAUAAUAAGCUGUCAGCUACCGAAGACAGAAACUUCAAAUCCUUCCGUCCCCUUCCCUCUCUCAGACCAGGAAUUGGGCUUUGAUGAUUUUGCAUAAAAAUGUAAAUAAUCACUUAUUUGGAUGAUUGCUAUUACGUAACCCCAGAUGGCAGUGAGUGCCCUGAAAUAAUCUUUCUGCAGAAUCUUUCAGCUAAAGCAGUGAAGAAAUCCAAGAGCCUCCUGGCUCACAAACAAUUCUUGUAAACAUAUCAGUCACCUCUCUGUCUUCAGAGCCUGUGUCCCCUCUGUGAGGGUCAAGAAGGGCUUGGAAUGGAAGAAAUGCCAGCAGGCAUACUGGACACACUCCUAUGACUGGCCUAUCCUUGCUGCGGCAUCAUUGCGCACAUGGUAGCAGUGGCUUGAUCAGAGAGACUUAGAAAGUUGCUUAGUGGAGUACCUAUAGAUGAGUGUUCCAGUGGCUUUCAGGAGUUCUUUUUGACUGUGUACACAGUGAACAUCAUGGCCAGUAGGAAGCCAAGAAGCUGAGGGAGGUGUGUAUCCUUCCAGGAGCUAGAAUAAAUAACAUAAUGAUGAAGUACUUUUGUAGGGAGGAAGAACACAUCACUGCUUA